UUGCUGGGCUUGCCGCUGAAAAGACAGUGCAAGAGGUGUAGGCGUGUUGAAUAGAAUUCUACACCAAGACAGAGCAGGCCUGCCAGCUCACAGGGCACACCAGAGACACAAAGCAUUCUUUUCUUACCCUGACCAUUCUCUUUUUUUUUAAAAAAAAAGUAAAUAGAAACUAAAGUGAGGGUGAAAAAACACUAUGAUAAAAUGUCGGAUAUCCGUAGACGUGGGGCAUUUCUAACCUGAGGUAGAUUCUUCUUUGGGUCUGCAUUUCUUAAAAUGAUUACUUGUUUUGAAAGGGAAGCCAGAGCGUCAGUGGGUUCAAACAAAGGGAAGGAAAACCACUCUAUCCCAUUCUUUGAAUAAAAUGUAUGUUUCCUAUAGUGGAAUUACUAUCUACUUAAUACAGGAAGACGAGGGAGCACCGAGAAGAGUAAAGAAGCCAAGGUAAACAGGGCUGCAUCGUCAAAUGAACUAAAGAUAAUGAGUGAGGCUGAAGAUCUGGAGGAAUGGGAUGUUUCUGCACUCAGGAUGAGACUAUAAAUUAAUCCAGCCACUGAGGAAAACUACAUGGAGAGCCCAUUAAAAACCUAAAAGAAUUAUU